rnacentral:rRNA from 1 species
UACAGAGGGGGCAAGCGUUAUUCGGAAUUAUUGGGCGUAAAGGGCGCGUAGGCGGCUUGGCAAGUGGAAGGUGAAAUCCCUCGGCUCAACUGAGGAACUGCCUUCCAGACUGCUUUGCUUGAGUCCGGGAGAGGUGAGUGGAAUUCCCAGUGUAGCGGUGAAAUGCGUAGAUAUUGGGAGGAACACCAGUGGCGAAGGCGGCUCACUGGACCGGAACUGACGCUGAGGCGCGAAAGCGUGGGGAGCAACGGG